GACCUGGCGGCAGGCCUAACACAUGCAAGUCGAGCGGAAACGAGAAGUAGCUUGCUACUUCGGCGUCGAGCGGCGGACGGGUGAGUAAUGCCUAGGAAGUUGCCCAGUAGAGGGGGAUAACCAUUGGAAACGAUGGCUAAUACCGCAUAUUCUCUUUGGAGCAAAGCAGGGGACCUUCGGGCCUUGCGCUAUUGGAUACGCCUAGGUGGGAUUAGCUAGUUGGUGAGGUAAUGGCUCACCAAGGCAACGAUCCCUAGCUGGUCUGAGAGGAUGAUCAGCCACACUGGAACUGAGACACGGUCCAGACUCCUACGGGAGGCAGCAGUGGGGAAUAUUGCACAAUGGGCGAAAGCCUGAUGCAGCCAUGCCGCGUGUAUGAAGAAGGCCUUCGGGUUGUAAAGUACUUUCAGUCGUGAGGAAGGGGGUAAGCUUAAUACGCUUAUCUCUUGACGUUAGCGACAGAAGAAGCACCGGCUAACUCCGUGCCAGCAGCCGCGGUAAUACGGAGGGUGCGAGCGUUAAUCGGAAUUACUGGGCGUAAAGCGCAUGCAGGUGGUUCAAUAAGUCAGAUGUGAAAGCCCGGGGCUCAACCUCGGAACUGCAUUUGAAACUGUUGGACUAGAGUACUGUAGAGGGGGGUAGAAUUUCAGGUGUAGCGGUGAAUGCGUA
rnacentral:rRNA from 1 species